rnacentral:RNase_P_RNA from 2 species
CCAGACGGUCGGAUGGCCGCCUUCGGCGCGGCGCCGCCGCGUCGGGGGAGGAAAGUCCGGGCUCCACGGAAACACGGUGCCGGGUAACGCCCGGCGGGGGCGACUCCAGGGAAAGUGCCACAGAAAGCAAACCGCCGGUUUUGGGCUUCGGCCCGUGCCGGCAAGGGUGAAAGGGUGCGGUAAGAGCGCACCGCGUUCCCGGCAACGGGGACGGCACGGUAAACCCCACCGGGAGCAAGACCAAGUAGGGACGGCAGGCCGGAGUUUUUCCGGCAAGCGGGUUUUCGCGCCGCCGUCCGGGUAGGUCGCACGAGGCGUCCGGCAACGGACGUCCCAGAUGAAUGGCCAUCCUCCGCUCCAGAUGGGCGGAGACAGAACCCGGCUUACAGGCCGUCUGGUAUU